rnacentral:rRNA from 1 species
GACAGAGGGUGCGAGCGUUAAUCGGAAUGACUGGGCGUAAAGAGCUCGUAGGCGGCUUGUCGCGUCGAGUGUGAAAGCCCGGGGCUUAACUCCGGGUCUGCAUUCGAUACGGGCAGGCUAGAGGCAGGUAGGGGAGAACGGAAUUCCCGGUGUAGCGGUGAAAUGCGCAGAUAUCCGGAGGAACACCGGUGGCGAAGGCGGCUUCCUGGACCGACACUGACGCUGAGGCGCGAAAGCUAGGGGAGCAAACGGG